rnacentral:rRNA from 1 species
AGAGUUUGAUCCUGGCUCAGGACGAACGCUGGCGGCGGGCUUAACACAUGCAAGUCGAACGAGAAUCCCGGGUUCGCCUGGGAGGAAAGUGGCGCACGGGUGAGUAACACGUAGGCAACCUGCCCUCGAGUGGGGAAUAACACCGGGAAACCGGUGCUAAUACCGCAUAUUGUCUCUGGUACGCAUGUACCGGUGAUGAAAGUCUUCGGACGUUCGGGGAUGGGCCUGCGGUGGAUUAGGUAGUUGGUAGGGUAACGGCCUACCAAGCCUGCGAUCCAUAGCUGGUCUGAGAGGAUGAUCAGCCACACUGGCACUGAGACACGGGCCAGACUCCUACGGGAGGCAGCAGUGAGGAAUAUUGCGCAAUGGGCGAAAGCCUGACGCAGCCACGCCGCGUGGAGGAUGACACCCCUCUGGGGCGUAAACUCCUUUUAUGUGAGAAGAAAACCUCGUUCCGCGAGGAUUGACGGUAUCAUAUGAAUAAGCACCGGCUAACUCCGUGCCAGCAGCCGCGGUAAUACGGAGGGUGCAAGCGUUGUCCGGAUUCACUGGGUGUAAAGGGUGUGUAGGUGGAAUGGCAAGUCAGAGGUGAAAGCCUACAGCUUAACUGUAGAACUGCCUUUGAUACUGCCGUUCUUGAGUACUGGAGAAGUCACUGGAAUUCGUGGUGUAGCGGUGAAAUGCGUAGAUAUCACGAGGAACACCUGAGGCGUAGGCGGGUGACUAAACAGAUACUGACGCUGAGGCACGAAAGCGUGGGGAGCAAACAGGAUUAGAUACCCUGGUAGUCCACGCUGUAAACGAUGGAUGCUCGAUGCUGCUGCGUAUGCG